AGAGUUUGAUCCUGGCUCAGAUUGAACGCUGGCGGCAGGCCUAACACAUGCAAGUCGAACGGUAGCACAGAGAGCUUGCUCUCGGGUGACGAGUGGCGGACGGGUGAGUAAUGUCUGGGAAACUGCCUGAUGGAGGGGGAUAACUACUGGAAACGGUAGCUAAUACCGCAUAACGUCGCAAGACCAAAGAGGGGGACCUUCGGGCCUCUUGCCAUCAGAUGUGCCCAGAUGGGAUUAGCUAGUAGGUGGGGUAACGGCUCACCUAGGCGACGAUCCCUAGCUGGUCUGAGAGGAUGACCAGCCACACUGGAACUGAGACACGGUCCAGACUCCUACGGGAGGCAGCAGUGGGGAAUAUUGCACAAUGGGCGCAAGCCUGAUGCAGCCAUGCCGCGUGUAUGAAGAAGGCCUUCGGGUUGUAAAGUACUUUCAGCGGGGAGGAAGGUGUUGUGGUUAAUAACCGCAGCAA
rnacentral:rRNA from 1 species